AGGGUUUGAUCAUGGCUCAGAACGAACGCUGGCGGCAUGCCUAACACAUGCAAGUCGAACGAGACCUUCGGGUCUAGUGGCGCACGGGUGCGUAACGCGUGGGAAUCUGCCCUUGGGUUCGGAAUAACUCAGAGAAAUUUGAGCUAAUACCGGAUGAUGACGUAAGUCCAAAGAUUUAUCGCCCAAGGAUGAGCCCGCGUAAGAUUAGCUUGUUGGUAGGGUAACGGCCUACCAAGGCGACGAUCUUUAGCUGGUCUGAGAGGAUGAUCAGCCACACUGGGACUGGGACACGGCCCAGACUCCUACGGGAGGCAGCAGUGGGGAAUAUUGGACAAUGGGCGAAAGCCUGAUCCAGCAAUGCCGCGUGAGUGAUGAAGGCCUUAGGGUUGUAAAGCUCUUUUACCAGGGAUGAUAAUGACAGUACCUGGAGAAUAAGCUCCGGCUAACUCCGUGCCAGCCGCCGCGGUAAUACA
rnacentral:rRNA from 1 species